rnacentral:rRNA from 1 species
GCCUUUGCACGGAGCGACGCCGCGUGAGGGAGGAAGGCCUUAGGGUUGUAAACCUCUUUUCUCUGGGAAGAAGAACUGACGGUACCUGAGGAAUAAGCCUCGGCUAACUCCGUGCCAGCAGCCGCGGUAAGACGGAGGAGGCAAGCGUUAUCCGGAAUUAUUGGGCGUAAAGCGUCCGCAGGCGGUUAAUUAAGUCUGUUGUCAAAGCCCACAGCUCAACUGUGGAUCGGCAAUGGAAACUGGUUGACUUGAGUGUGGUAAGGGUAGAGGGAAUUCCCGGAUGUAGCGGUGAAAUGCGUAGAUAUCGGGAAGAACACCUAGUGGCGAAGGCGCUCUACUGGGCCACAACUGACGCUGAGGGACGUUAGCUAGGGGAGCGAAAGGGAUUA